rnacentral:tRNA from 1 species
GGGGAUGAAGCUCAGUGGCACCGUGCCUGCCUUGUAAGCACAAGGUCCUGUGUUCAAUCCCCAGUAUCCCCC